rnacentral:tRNA from 1 species
UGGUUUCGUGGAUCAGGGGUAUUCCGGUACUCUCACUUUCGAACUAUGCAACCUUGGUUCAAUACCGAUAAAACUAU